UCCAGGGUAGCCUAGUGGACAUGGCAUCUGCCCGGUAAGCGGAACACUGUGGGUUCGAUUCCCAUCCCUUGGCA
rnacentral:tRNA from 1 species